rnacentral:rRNA from 1 species
UUAAUAUUUAUUUAUUAAUUUUAUUUUGAUUAAAUAAUUUUUAUAAUAAAAAUAAUUUUUAAAAAUAUUUUUUUAGUAUUUUUUAAAGAAAAAAUAAUAUUAAUUAUAGUUUAUUAGUAUUGUAAAAGAAAAUUGAAAUAAUUUGAAAAAUUUUUAUUUUAAAAGAAAAAUUUAUUUUUUGUACCUUGUGUAUCAGGGUUUAUUAAUUAAAAAAUAAUUUUUUAUUUUUCUCGAUUUUAAGAGAUUUAAUUUAAUAUAUUAGUUAAUGUAGCAUAAUUAUUAAUAAUAUUAAAUUAGAAAUGAAACGUUAUUCGUUCUUAAAUAUAUCUAGUUUCUUAAGAAAAAAAUUAAAUUUUAAUAUAAUUAAUCAUUUAUUUAAUUAAAUUUAAAUAAAUGCUUUUUUUAUAUAAAUAUUUUAAGGGAUGAGCUUUAAAAUAAAUUUUUAUAAUAAAAAUAAAUAUUUUUAAAAAUGUAAGCUUAUAAAUAGUUAUCAUUAAAAAUUAUGUUAUAAUUUAUUUUAAAAAUUUAUUAUUUAUUAAUUAUUUAAAUUUUUUAUUAAGAUAUUUGUAUUAAUAAAAAUUACAAAAUAAUUAUGAUAAAAUUAGUAAAUUAAAAAUUUUAAAAAUUUUUUAUAAAUGAAAGGUUUUUUUAAUGAAUUCGGCAAAUUUUUAUACUCACCUGUUUAUCAAAAACAUGUCUUUUUAGAAAUUUAUAAAAAGUCUAACCUGCCCACUGAAAAUUGAAGGGCCGCGGUAUUUUGACCGUGCAAAGGUAGCAUAAUCAUUAGUCUUUUAAUUGAAGGCUUGUAUGAAUGGUUGAAUGAGGUAUAAGCUGUAUCAAAAAAAUUAAAAAUUGAAUUUUAUUUUUUAGUUAAAACGCUAAAAUAAAAUUAAAAGACGAGAAGACCCUAUAAAGCUUUACAUUUUUAUUUUAUUAUUUAUAAAGAAUUAUUUAAAUUUUAUUAUGAAAAAUGUUUUAUUGGGGUGAUAAUAAGAUUUAUAAAACUCUUAAAUUUCAAAAACAUAAAUUAAUGAUUUAUUGAUCCGAAAUUUUCGAUUAAAAAUUUAAGUUACUUUAGGGAUAACAGCGUAAUUUUUUUAGAGAGUUCAUAUCGAUAAAAAAGAUUGCGACCUCGAUGUUGGACUAAGAAUUAUUUUAGGUGUAGAAGUUUAAAUUUUGGGUCUGUUCGACCUUUAAAUUCUUACAUGAUCUGAGUUCAGACCGGCGUGAGCCAGGUUGGUUUCUAUCUUUAAUUAUAUAAAAUAUUUUAGUACGAAAGGACCAAAUAUUUAAAAUAAAUUUUUAAAAUAGAAUAAAAUUAAAUUAAAUAAAAAAUUUAAAAUAAAAUAAAUUAAUUAUA